rfam:Salmo salar isolate Sally breed double haploid chromosome ssa23, whole genome shotgun sequence.
UGUUCUCAUGACUGUAAGUUGCUUUGGAUAAGAGUGUCUGUUAAAUGACAAAAA